CAAGAGUGCUGAUGGUGUGAGACAGGAUGCGUUACUGUUUGAUGGACUGCUAUUUUUUACACAGAGAAAAUAGGAUGUCUUUGACCAAAAUUCCAUUAUCUUCAGAAAGCUGACAAACACAACAGCUGAGGAAAAGAGUUAAACUGUUACUGUUCAUCUCUGCUUGGGGGUCGCGACAGACGCAGUGGCAGGGUCCAGAUGGAUGCUGGAAAGAUACAAGCGGUUCUGAAGUGGCCCCAACCCUGCUCCAUUAAACAGGAAACCUCCUCCAACUCCCCAGAUCAUCAAUGGCCAACCAGGCUACACUGUUCGCCAGCUGCUGGACUCUCGCCAGGUCCGUGGGAGAACUCAGUAUCUUGUGGACUGGGAGGGUUAUGGGCCAGAGGAAUGCUCCUGGGUGUCAGCACGAGAUAAUCUAGACCCAUGCCUCAUCAGGGACUUCCACCACCAGGGUCCAAAGCACAGCUAAGGAAAUGUCAGGAGCCAUUCCUAGAGGAGGGGCUCCUGUAAUAACUCAGACUGCAAUGUCUCUCCAGACCUCUAACUGGCAUUAGCGUCCUGAGUUCCCUUGGUUCCCACACUCGUUAUGUUGAUUGUUAAAACCUGUGUGUUUCCCUAUUUAAGUUCACCUGUUUGAUCUUCCUGUGUUCAGUCUUGAGCCAAUCUGCCCAGAUCACCUGAGUUUUUGCCAGUUUAAUUCUCUGAUUUUGUACAUUUUGGCCAUUUGUUUAUUUUUACCUGUGAAACACGGCUUCCUGAUUUUUUUUUUUUUUACUUUUUGAGAUAU